GACGAACGCUGGCGGCGUGCUUAACACAUGCAAGUCGAACGGAAAGGCCCUGCCUUUGUGGGGUGCUCGAGUGGCGAACGGGUGAGUAACACGUGGGUAACCUGCCCUUGACUUUGGGAUAACUUCAGGAAACUGGGGCUAAUACCGGACAGGAGCUCCUGCUGCAUGGUGGGGGUUGGAGGGGCUCGGCGGUUGGGGAUGGGCUCGCGGCUGAUUAGGUGGCUGGUGGGGUAGUGGCAUACCAAGGCGUUGACGGGUAGCUGGUCGGUGAGGGGGACAGGCUAGACCGGGAAUGAGACACGGACCGCAACGCGACGGAGGGCAGGAGUGGGGAAUAGUGGGCACUGGGGGCAAGUGUGAGCCAGCCGUGUCGCGGGGGUGGAGAAGGUGUUCGGAGUGUAAAGACCCUUGGGCGGGGACGAUGGUGACGGUACCCGCAGAAGAAGCACCGGCUAACUUCGUG
rnacentral:rRNA from 1 species